GACGAACGCUGGCGGCGUGCUUAACACAUGCAAGUCGAACGGAAAGGCCCUGCUUUUGUGGGGUGUUCGAGUGCCGAACGGGUGAGUAACACGUGAGUAACCUGCCCUUGACUUUGGGAUAGCUUCAGGAAACUGGGGCUAAUACCGGAUAGGAGCUCCUGCUGCAUGUCGGGGGUUUGUCAGUUUCGGCGGUUGGGGAUGGACUCGCGGCUUAUCAGCUUGUUGGUGGGGUAGUGGCUUACCAAGGCUUUGACGGGUAGCCGGCCUGAGAGGGUGACCGGCCACAUUGGGACUGAGAUACGGCCCAGACUCCUACGGGAGGCAGCAGUGGGGAAUAUUGCACAAUGGGCGGAAGCCUGAUGCAGCAACGCCGCGUGCGGGAUGACGGCCUUCGGGUUGUAAACCGCUUUCGCCUGUGACGAAGCGUGAGUGACGGUAAUGGGUAAAGAAGCACCGGCUAACUACGUG
rnacentral:rRNA from 1 species